GAUUGUGACACAAUAUUAAAGCAGGUUUUGAGUGUCAUUGAACUUCAGUAGAUAUUGAAUUAUUUAUGUUUGGUGGUCACUAUUCCUAGCAAAGGAUUGGUCCUAAUCACUUGCCUUACCAAAGGGUCUCCUGGUUCUCCUGGAUGGAGCUCAGAUAAGAUUUGAGACUCAUUAAACAUUUAGAGAUCUUUAUACCACUGCCUCAGCCCUUCCCUGUUUUGUGAUGGGAACUAGUUUCUGUUUUACAUACAUCAGGAUCAAAGAAAGCUAAGUGCUUUCAUGGUUAAAAGUCUUUUUUAAAAAAAUACUGUUUCACUUAUAAACAUUAACUUUGGUUAGCAUUUUCAUCAGUCACCCCUCCAGUCCUCUCCUUCCUCAUCCCUCCCUCUUUGCAGACAAAUCUCAAAUUAUUUUCAUUAUAUUUACCCUCCUCCUUCCUCCUCCAUUAACCCUCUCUCCCCCAACACACCUCCAUUUUGUAUGUGUGGUGUCUGGGAUUGAACCCAGAGCCUCACACAAACUAGGCAACUGCUCUGCCACUGUGCUGUACUUGCCAGCCCCAAAAUUUGGGCUCACAAAUUUUGCGGCAGUUGAAUUUGAUCCUAAGAUGUCUGGCUGUUGGGUUCCUCCUAUUAUGACCACCGUCCACCAGGUGCUGUGUGAGCCAGUCAGACACAUCCUUUACCUUUGUCCAAGACAGACAGUGAUAAAGGGCAGGUUGGGGGAAUGAAUAACCAGACAAUACAUUGUGUUUGUAUUUGGCAGGGGUCCAGAACCUGUCUUUGACAUUAGGCAACAAUAUGUCCAGUUGCUGCAUGCUAAUUUUACUAACCUACAUUAUUCAGCCUAGGAGAUUUUCCUGUCUCUGAUAUUCCUAUAGUUGCUCAUAAGCAGAAACUCUUUGUGGAAUAUAUUCUACAUGGUUUUUGGAAUGAAUACAUAUAGUAGUUCCUUUAAAGCAAUGCUUUGUUGCAUAUAUGUUCAGCAAUGUGAAUUUUUACUUGCUCUUGGUUCAAAAUUAUAGUCCCUGAUGUUGGAAAUAAAACGUAAGAAAUUGUUCUAGA